rnacentral:rRNA from 1 species
AUGAGAAUGAGACAUCUAUUGUGCCAGGCCAUCGCUUAUUCAUAUGAUGCAGAGCAGGAUGCAUUUAUAAUUAAUGGGAGACCAUGUAGGAUCACACUAAAAGAUGUGGAGCAUUUAACAGGCCUGCCCUGCAUGGGGAAGAAUCAAGUCUCUUCAAAUCACAACGAUACUUUGGAGUUGUGGAAGGAACUGAAAAACCCCAAUGACAGAAAAGUAACGUUGAAAGGAUAG